GAACGCUGGCGGCAGGCCUAACACAUGCAAGUCGAACGGUAACAGGAAGCAGCUUGCUGCUCGCUGACGAGUGGCGGACGGGUGAGUAAUGUCUGGGAAACUGCCUGAUGGAGGGGGAUAACUACUGGAAACGGUAGCUAAUACCGCAUAACGUCGCAAGACCAAAGAGGGGGACCUUCGGGCCUCUUGCCGUCAGAUGUGCCCAGAUGGGAUUAGCUAGUUGGUGGGGUAACGGCUCACCAAGGCGACGAUCCCUAGCUGGUCUGAGAGGAUGACCAGCCACACUGGAACUGAGACACGGUCCAGACUCCUACGGGAGGCAGCAGUGGGGAAUAUUGCACAAUGGGCGCAAGCCUGAUGCAGCCAUGCCGCCGUGUAUGAAGAAGGCCUUCGGGUUGUAAAGUACUUUCAGCGGGGAGGAAGGUGUUGUGGUUAAUAACCGCAGCAAUUGACGUUACCCGCAGAAGAAGCACCGGCUAACUCCGUGCCAGCCGCGGC
rnacentral:rRNA from 1 species